CGGAGCCGGUUGCGCGUAGAGAUCGGAGAUAGAGCGCGUGGGAGGCAGAGAGAGCUUGUCUUGCUCCGACCAGCUGCUUCAGGUUUUUCUUCCAGAUUUUGAGACCAAACCGAAAGUGCCAAAGCACAACACUUUCUUGAAGAAGACAGAAGCUAUACAAUGUUUCUUCUUCUUCUUCUUCUUCUUCUUCUUGUAGCUUAUGCUCUUACACCCUAGACGGCUGAAAUCACUUCCUUCUUGUUCUUCUCGCAAGAAAAUCUUCAAAGUCGCUCAGUUUGUCUGUAAAAAAAGAAAAAAAAAUGAAAA